UACGGGGGGGCAAGCGUUGUUCGGAAUUACUGGGCGUAAAGGGCUCGUAGGCGGCCAACUAAGUCAGACGUGAAAUCCCUCGGCUUAACCGGGGAACUGCGUCUGAUACUGGAUGGCUUGAGUUUGGGAGAGGGAUGCGGAAUUCCAGGUGUAGCGGUGAAAUGCGUAGAUAUCUGGAGGAACACCGGUGGCGAAGGCGGCAGUCCUGGACCAACACUGACGCUGAGUGAGCGAAAGCCAGGGGAGCAAACGGGG
rnacentral:rRNA from 1 species